ACCAGACUCCUACGGGAGGCAGCAGUGGGGAAUAUUGCACAAUGGGGGAAACCCUGAUGCAGCAACGCCGCGUGAGUGAAGAAGUAUUUCGGUAUGUAAAGCUCUAUCAGCAGGGAAGAAAAUGACGGUACCUGAGUAAGAAGCCCCGGCUAACUACGUGCCAGCAGCCGCGGUAAUACGUAGGGGGCAAGCGUUAUCCGGAUUUACUGGGUGUAAAGGGAGCGUAGACGGCGAUACAAGUCUGAAGUGAAAGCCCGGGGCUCAACCCCGGGACUGCUUUGGAAACUGUGUUGCUGGAGUGCUGGAGAGGCAAGCGGAAUUCCUAGUGUAGCGGUGAAAUGCGUAGAUAUUAGGAGGAACACCGGUGGCGAAGGCGGCUUACUGGACCGUAACUGACGUUGAGGCUCGAAAGCGUGGGGAGCAAACAGGAUUAGAUACCCGAGUA
rnacentral:rRNA from 1 species